UACGGAGGGUGCGAGCGUUGUUCGGAAUUACUGGGCGUAAAGGGCGUGUAGGCGGUCCGCUAAGUCUGAUGUGAAAGCCCGGGGCUCACCCCCGGAAGGGCAUUGGAAACUGGCGGACUCGAGUCCCGGAGAGGAAGGUGGAAUUCCUGGUGUAGCGGUGAAAUGCGUAGAUAUCAGGAGGAAUACCGGUGGCGAAGGCGGCCUUCUGGACGGUGACUGACGCUGAGACGCGAAAGCGUGGGGAGCAAACAGG
rnacentral:rRNA from 1 species